GUCUUUGCCAGUGUUGAGUCACAAGGAACGGAUGGUCCCAGAUAGACACAGUCAGUUGGUUUGUCACUGUGGCCUGCACUGGUCCUAAAGAUCAAGUUUUCAAGGAUUUCAGCGCUGAAAAGACAAACAAGAAGCGCAUUCAUAAUCGCAACCGCAUUCACCUCUGCAACGCACUGGCCGCUGCUAAUUUCAGGGAGUAUGAACGCAGCAAUCAAAGGAAACCACGGGGAGAAGACCUGGGAUGAAGAUCACAAGAGUAGGACCAUGGACCAGUCUCCAAACUAAAGGAGUUUCAUGAACCACAUAAUCCGGACAGGGCCAGGGCUGAAGGGCAAACUGCAUGGAACAGCCUUGGCCAGCAAGGACUGCUCAGGUGAUCUUGCAGAACCUGCGCAGGUCCCCAUCCCCUU